GACGUGGGGGGCCAGCGUUGCUCGGAAUUACUGGGCGGAAAGGGUUCGUAGGCGGUGCGGCAAGUCGGGAGUGAAAUCUCUGGGCUUAACUCAGGGGCUGCUUCCGAAACUGCCGUGCUUGAGUGCGGGAGAGGCGAGUGGAAUUGCAGGUGUAGCGGUGAAAUGCGUAGAUAUCUGCAGGAACACCCGUGGCGAAGGCGGCUCGCUGGACCGCAACUGACGCUGAGGAACGAAAGCUAGGGGAGCAAACAGG
rnacentral:rRNA from 1 species